GACGAACGCUGGCGGCGUGCUUAACACAUGCAAGUCGAACGGAAAGGCCCUGCUUUUGUGGGGUGCUCGAGUGGCGAACGGGUGAGUAACACGUGAGUAACCUGCCCUUGACUUUGGGAUAACUUCAGGAAACUGGGGCUAAUACCGGAUAGAAGCUCCUGCUGCAUGGUGGGGGUUGGAAAGUUUCGGCGGUUGGGGAUGGACUCGCGGCUUAUCAGCUUGUUGGUGGGGUAGUGGCUUACCAAGGCUUUGACGGGUAGCCGGCCUGAGAGGGUGACCGGCCACAUUGGGACUGAGAUACGGCCCAGACUCCUACGGGAGGCAGCAGUGGGGAAUAUUGCACAAUGGGCGGAAGCCUGAUGCAGCAACGCCGCGUGCGGGAUGACGGCCUUCGGGUUGUAAACCGAUUUCGCCUGUGACGAAGCGUGAGUGACGGUAAUGGGUAAAGAAGCACCGGCUAACUACGUG
rnacentral:rRNA from 1 species